rnacentral:rRNA from 1 species
CCUACGGGAGGCAGCAGUGAGGAAUAUUGGUCAAUGGCCGGAAGGCUGAACCAGCCAUGCCGCGUGAAGGUCAGUGCCCUAUGGGCGUUAAACUUCUUUUGUGCGGGAGCAAUAAUGGUCACGUGUGGCCAGACGAGAGUACCGUACGAAUAAGCAUCGGCUAACUCCGUGCCAGCAGCCGCGGUAAUACGGGGGGUGCAAGCGUUAUCCGGAUUUAUUGGGUUUAAAGGGUGCGUAGGCUGUGAGCUAAGUCAGCGGUGAAAUGCCCCCGCUCAACGGGGUGAAGUGCCAUUGAUACUGCCUGGCUGGAAUGCGGAUGAGGUGGGAGGAAGGUGUGGUGUAGCGGUGAAAUGCAUAGAUAUCACACAGAACACCGAUUGCGAAGGCAUCUCACGAAUCCGCGAUUGACGCUGAUGCACGAAAGCGUGGGUAUCAAACAGGAUUAGAUACCCUGGUAGUC